rnacentral:rRNA from 1 species
GACGAACCGUGCGAACGUUGUUCGGAAUCACUGGGCUUAAAGGGCGCGUAGGCGGGUCUGCAAGUCCGGGGUGAAAGCCCCCAGCUCAACCGGGGAAGUGCCUUGGAAACUGCGGGUCUAGAGGGAGGUAGGGGCAUGUGGAACUUCGGGUGUAGCGGUGAAAUGCGUUGAUAUCCGAAGGAACGCCGGUGGCGAAGGCGACGUGCUGGAUCUCUACUGACGCUGAGGCGCGAAAGCCUGGGGAGCGAACAGG